rnacentral:rRNA from 1 species
UACGUAGGGCGCGAGCGUUGUCCGGAAUUAUUGGGCGUAAAGCGCACGUAGGCGGCUCUGUAAGUCGGAUGUGAAAUCCCUCGGCUUAACCAAGGAAGUGCAUCCGAAACUGCAAGGCUUGAGUACUUAAGAGGAUCGCGGAAUUCCCGGUGUAGAGGUGAAAUUCGUAGAUAUCGGGAGGAACACCAGUGGCGAAGGCGGCGAUCUGGGAAGAUACUGACGCUGAGGUGCGAAAGCGUGGGGAGCAAAUAGG